rnacentral:rRNA from 1 species
CACCUCUAGCAUUUCAAAUAUUAGAGGCAUUGCCUGCCCAGUGACUAAAGUUAAACGGCCGCGGUAUCCUGACCGUGCAAAGGUAGCAUAAUCACUUGUUCCUUAAUUAGGGACUCGUAUGAACGGCUAAACGAGGGUCCAACUGUCUCUUAUUUUUAAUCAGUGAAAUUGACCUUCCAGUGAAGAGGCUGGAAUAACUUAAUAAGACGAGAAGACCCUAUGGAGCUUAAAUUAAUUAACUUACUUAAAAUCUCACCACACCUAAUGGCACAAAAAUAAUAUUUUAAAUUUAAAAUUUUGGUUGGGGUGACCUCGGAGAAUAAAAAAUCCUCCGAAAGAAUUAUAACUUAGACCAACAAGUCAAUGUAACCUCAGUUCCAAUUGACCCAAAAAAUUGACCAACGGACCAAGUUACCCUAGGGAUAACAGCGCAAUCCUAUUUAAGAGUCCAUAUCGACAAUAGGGUUUACGACCUCGAUGUUGGAUCAGGACAUCCCAAUGGUGCAGAAACUAUUAAUGGUUCGUUUGUUCAACGAUUAAAGUCCACGGUGGAU